AUAAUAUGGAAAAAAUUAAUGAAGUUUUGUUGGACUCUGUAACAACUAUUUUCAUUUUGCCAUUUAUGAUGGUAGAGUUGAAAAAAGUAAACAAGAAAUAACAAGGCAGAAUUUACACUAUUUCUUAUUGGAAACAAGAUGGAACUGAUAUUGAACUGUCAAAAGAUU